AUUGAACGCUGGCGGCAUGCCUUACACAUGCAAGUCGAACGGUAACGCGGGGCAACCUAGCGACGAGUGGCGAACGGGUGAGUAAUAUAUCGGAACGUGCCCAAUAGUGGGGGAUAGCCCGGCGAAAGCCGGAUUAAUACCGCAUACGACCCGAGGGUGAAAGCGGGGGACCUGCAAGGGCCUCGCGCGAUGGGAGCGGCCGAUAUCGGAUUAGCUAGUUGGUGAGGUAAAGGCUCACCAAGGCGACGAUCUGUAGCUGGUCUGAGAGGACGACCAGCCACACUGGGACUGAGACACGGCCCAGACUCCUACGGGAGGCAGCAGUGGGGAAUUUUGGACAAUGGGCGCAAGCCUGAUCCAGCCAUGCCGCGUGAGUGAUGAAGGCCUUAGGGUUGUAAAGCUCUUUUGGCGGGGACGAUAAUGACGGUACCCGCAGAAUAAGUCCCGGCUAACUUCGUG
rnacentral:rRNA from 1 species